UUGUGUUUCAAGGGCUCCCGCGAGGCAGCAGUGCUCCAAGUAAUUUUACCAUUCUAUAUAUUUUCUAUUUUGCAUCAUUCUUCCACGAUGGAUUUUAAUGUUAAUAGUAUUUGUCAUUAGUCAUCGCCAUAAUGUUAUAGCACGUAGAUUUUACGCACUUCACAUCGACAAUUUUUAGGCCAGUUUACAGCCAAGUCACAUCUUCCAUAAUACAUCGUCAACAUUACCACUUGUCAUGGCGCUCUUUGGCCUAACCUGGCCCUUGCGCCAUAAAACACCACACAUCAUCAUCAUCAGCUUGGCUGCCAGAAAAUGCUUGAAUUUCUUUCAGUAUCCAAGUGACGAAAUAUUUCACUGACGGCCGUGUGUGAAACACGCAAGAUGACAAAACUGAUAGCAAAAUGAUGAGAUAUUUCUUUUAUAGCGUUCGGACUCUACUUUUGGUGAGGAUGUCGAUCGACCUUGGGCCUGGCGACAGCACACCCGACAUCGCCAAAGUGCAGCCUAUCAGUUGAGUGCCCCCGAAUGGACCAUCAACAUUGGAAAAUGAAGCAGAGCCAGGGGGAAAAGGUUCCGGUAACACUGCAUUCAGUAUGGUGGCCCAGACGUGUAUGCAAGCAACCUCCUUCAUGUGGACCAAGAACUACUCUGCAGUGUCUCACAGACUUCCAUGCGAAGCCCUCAACAUUCUCGUCUCAGUGGAAUGGCUGCUCAUCUAUCUGCGUGUCCAUCACCAAGAUGGCCAGUUGUAAAGCUCCUGUACCCGUUUAAGACAGCUUAAUGAUUUUUUUUUAUUUAGUUUUCAUGGUUAGCCGUAGAAUCUUAACAUUUUUGAUGUUUCUAACGUUUUUACCUGGCCCAAAGUGGUGCAAUAACUUUAAACCAGUGUAAUGUAUUUAAGUGAUGCUCACUCUAAUGCCUAUCUGGUUUUGUUUGUGUUUAAGAAAUUUGAAUGUCUGAUGAGGUAACAGCAUUUAAACUUGUCAUCGUGGCUCUUUUCAGUGAGCUGCUAGGAAAUAAGAUGCAAAACUUAUCACACGCCAGUUGUAGCAUUUUUGUUUUCAAGACUAAAGUAUACAUGUUUCAAAAGAUGGAAAGUGGGGAAAAAAGCCUCAAGAACAUAAUCAUCCUAGGAUUGUCAUGUCCUUACAACUCUGCAAUGGCUAAUGCCUCAUACAUCUUGGGAGCACAUUGGUCGCAAUGCCUACAGGUAUACUUGAUAAGAGAAUAGCUUGCACUCAGAUUUUCCACGCAGUUGAUGGCUGAUAGUUUUGUUUGUCGUCUUCAUGUUACUACUAUGUAUUCAAUAUUCAUUUACAUGUGCUGCGGUUUUUUGCAGUCACACACACACACACAUAUAUAUAUAUAUAUAUAUAUAUAUAUUCUUUGUUUUAAUAAAAAUUUAGUUGAGAGUUA